rnacentral:lncRNA from 1 species
GGAAAGUUCUUCUAAAUGGCGGCGGUGGGAAGGAGGGGCAGCACUUCCGCUGGUGUCUCUGCACUUUCUCUCUGACUCUGGAAUUUCCAUUUCUAAACCUCAGCUGAUCUGCCUGCAAGAAAAAAGAGAAAUGCCGUGGAUUCCAGAUGUAAGGGAAAUUCAGGAUGAAGAGGACCAAAGCACUUGACCAAGUGAGUGAAGAAAUUAUGAAAUAGUACAUUUUCUAGGGUAUUUUUUGGUGUGGAUCCCAUUUUAUUAACUCUGGUGCUUACCUGGGGGAUUCUUUUUUUUAUUGUUUUUAUUUUAUUUAUUUAUUUAUUUAUUUAUUUAUUUAUUUAUUUAUUUAUUUAUUUUUA